CAUUGCGGCUCGGGAUCCUGAUCUCGGGCCACACCUGACUGAGGGUCGGUGAUAUCAUACGAUAUGUUUUGGGCGACGUCCGACAGAUUUUUGUCGAACGCGCACUUAAAUUCAAAUUUUAUAAAGACUCGGAGGAGGCCGCCUUUCUCCUCUCUCGAAGAGAGAGAAAGAAAGGAGACUCGAACGGUCGUCGUGAGCACUUGUCUUUGUGUUUCGAUUGGUACGAGAGUGAAGCUCGCGGUGGGGGGGUGCAAGUCGGUGGAGUAGGCGUCCAACCUCAUCCUCUCUUCUCGAGAGAAGAAGAGGAGGGUUGGCGUGAAAGACCGGCUACAUGUUUCUUUGCACCUCGCGGAGUGCCCGACUCUUCUCGCACAGUCACUCGUCGUGGAGUAAACGUCCAACCUCAUCCUCUCCUCUAGAGAGAGAAGAGGAGGGUUGGCGUGAAAGAUCGACUCUGUGAGAGACUGUGCGUUGCGGCGUACGCAGGCCAAUCGAACAAGACUCUCGCUAAAGCGCUCGACACGUUCCCGUCGUUUCGGACCGACUUCCGUAGAAAAAACAUUGAUCGCGACCUCAGAUCAGGUGAGACUACCCGCUAAAUUUAAGCAUAUUAAUAAGCGGAGGAAAAGAAACUAACAAGGAUUCCCUGAGUAGCGGCGAGCGAAAAGGGAAAAGCCCAGCACCGAAUCUCGCACCGUG
rnacentral:rRNA from 1 species